rnacentral:lncRNA from 1 species
AUUCCGAUCUUCGGAAACCUCUUUCAGCUUGGUGAUAAACCCCAUAAGUCUCUUGCCAAUCUUGCCAAGAUUCAUGGGGACAUCAUGACUCUAAAACUUGGUCAAACAACUACUAUAGUUUUGUCAUCUGAAACCAUGGCCAAAGAAAUCCUCCAAACACAGGAUGCAAUAUCUUGUAACCGAACCGUUCCAGAUGCCCUUCGUGCCCUUCAACACCACGAAGCUGGAUUGCCUUGGAUGCCUGUUUCAACCACAUGGAAAAAUCUUAGGAAAAUCUGCAAUUUGCACAUUUUCGCUAGUAAGAAACUUGACGCUAACCAACACUUGCGGCGAAGCAAAGUAGAACAACUCCUUACUGAUGUUCGUGAUAGUUCCCGACUUGGGGAAGCGAUAGAGAUAUCCACAGCUGUUUUCAAAACUUCGCUUAAUCUUCUUUCCAAUACUGUUUUUUCCAUCGAUUUUGCCGACUCUUCUUCUCAUAAUGCUCUGGAAUUCAGAGAAACUAUGGAGGCUUUCAAGGAGGAGUUUGGGAAACCCAAUUUUAGUGAUUUUUUUCCUACUCUUCUUGCUAAGCUAGACUUGCAAGGCAUAAGGGGUCGGGUGACAAUUCUUUUUGAGAAGAUUAUGAAGCUCUUCGAUAAAGAGAUUGAAAAGCGGUUGGAGUUGAGAAAGAUGAAUGAUUAUAUACCAACUAAUGAUUUCUUGGAUAUUCUUCUCCAAAUCAGUCAAGAUGACAACGAAGAACUCGAUAGAAAUCUGAUAAAACAUUUGAUUUUUGUAGUAACUUUGUCUCUUUUUAGUUUCUCAAUUUUUUUUUGAAGUUUCAGUCCAUAACUUGGUAAGAAUUUGUGAAACAGGAUUUGUUCACCGCAGGGACGGAUACAACUACAAGUACACUUGUUGUUCCAAUAGGGUCGGAAGCGUGUAAAUUAUUGUACUAAAAAAUCACACAAAGUUCAAUUCCCAGGAAAGAGAGGUUGAUCACAUGGAUCUCUUAAAUACCAAGUCUUUCCUUAGACAGAAUAUCCCUUCUAUAGUAAUUUAAUAGCACAAUUAAAUACUACUAUUAUACCCUCAAAUAUUGAAAGAAAAAUAGGACAAGAAAGAACACAAGAGUUUUAACGAGGUUCGGUAAAUUAUACCUACGUCCUCGGGCACUAACACCAGAUGAUAACUUUACUAUCUCCAAAAUAUUACAAACAAAUAGAAUUCCUUAAGAAUUCUCAAAUGGGAGAAGAGAGAAAACUAAGAGAGAAAGAUUGGUUGGGAUGGUUGAAAUGAGAAAUGGUUAGGCCUAUUUAUAGUUGAGGUUCAGGGACUAACUUGCAAAUGGCCUAAAAAAUUAGGGACCAAAAUUGCAAUUAUCCCAUUCAACUUUAAACAACUUGCCUAUCAUUUUUUUUUCUUUCGGUGCCACUUGCACCUCCCAUUUUUGACUUUUCAACCCCUUUUUAAUUUGACUUAUCAACAAUCUCCACCUUGAAGAUUUGAUUAGGAUAAUCACAUCUUCACACACUUCCUUCAACUCUCCAAAUUCGAUAAAGCUAUCUUUUGUAGUGCCUCCAAAUGCGCUCUCGAGCGCCAUACACCUAAAGGUGCUCAAAUUCUCAGGAUGUUAAUCAAGUUCAAACAAUGAUUAAACUUGAUUGUUGUUACCACCUUGGUCAUCAUAUCUGCGGGAUUAUCUGCUGUCGGAAUCUUCUGAAGUAGAAUUUUUCCUUUUUCAAAGACUUCCCGCACAAAGUGAUAUCUUACGUCGAUAUGCUUGGUUCUUGAAUGAUAGACUUGAUUUUUCGCUAAAUGAAUAGCACUCUGACUGUCGCAAUAUAGACUAAUGUGACUUUGAACAACUCCCAAGUCUUUCAAUAAUCCAUUAAGCCAAAUAGCCUCCUUAACAGCUUCUGUAACUGCCAUAUAUUCUGCCUCUGUAGUAGACACAGCUACUGUAGACUGUAAGGUAGACUUCCAACUCACUGGGGCUUUCGCAAGAGUAAACAGAUACCCCGUAGUUGAACGACGUUUAUCUAAAUCACCAGCAAAGUCGGAAUCAACAUAUCCAACUACAAACUGACCAAGUGCUUCAUCCUGUUCAAAAAUUAAACCAACAUCUACGGUUUUUCGAAGAUACCGUAGAAUCCAUUUCACAGCUUACCAAUGUCCUUUUCCAAGAUCAUGCAUAUACCUGCUCACAACUCCAACAGCUUGUGAAAUGUCAGGCCUCGUACACACCAUCGCAUACAUCAAACUCCCAACUGCAUUAGCAUAUGGGACUUUCGCCAUAUAUUCUCUUUCAUCUUCAGUCUUCGGAGAUAAUUGAGCACUAAGUUUCAAAUGAGAAGCAAGUGGGGUACUUACAUGUUUUGUGUUUUCAUUUACACCAAAACAUUGUAAUACCUUUUUCAGAUAUUGCUUCUGAUUUAAACAGAGCUUGUCUCUCGGUCUAUCUCUACUUAUCUCCAUGUCGAGAAUCUUCUUGGCCUCACCUAGAUCUUUCAUCUCGAACUCUUGAUUCAACUGAGCCUUCAGCUUAUCUAUCUCAUUUUGGCUCUUCGAAGCGAUUAACAUAUCAUCAACAUACAAGAGUAGAUAAAUGAAAGAUCCGUCAUGCAGCUUCUGCAAAUAUACACAAUUGUCAUAUUUGCUUCUUGUAUACUUCUGCCUUCUCAUAAAGCUAUCAAAUCGCUUAUACCACUGCCUCGGGGAUUGCUUCAAUCCAUAUAGCGAUUUGUUAAGCUUACAAACCCAAUUUCUACCACCAGCAUCUGUGUAUCCUUCUGGAUGAGUCAUAUAGAUCUCCUCUUCUAACUCACCAUGCAAGAAAGCCGUCUUAACAUCAAGUUGAGCUAGCUCCAAAUUUAACUGUGCUACCAAGGCCAACAAAAUUCUAAUGGAGGAAUGCUUCACAACAGGGGAAAAUACAUCAUUGUAGUCAAUUCCCUCCUUCUGAGCGUAGCCUUUAGCUACCAAUCUUGCCUUGUAGCGAAUAUCCUUCUUGCUAGGAGAUCCAUCUUUCUUUGCGAAUACCCACUUGCAUCCGAUUGCCCUUUUACCUUUCGGUAAUUGCGCCAACUCCCAAGUAUUGUUUUUCCGGAGAGACUGGAUUUCUUCAUCCAUGGCGCUUUUCCAUUUAUCACUUUCUAAGCUUUGCAUUGCUUCUUGAUAAGUGAUAGGAAUAUCAUCAACAACGGGAAGGGUGUAGGCCACCAUAUCAGUAAAUCGAGCAGGUUUACGAAUUUCUCUCCGUGGCCUUGCAACUGCAACUGGUUCUGGUGUACUUAGUGGUUCUUGGGUCAGAACCUCUUCAACCUCUAAUUCCUCCAUUGUGGCUGGAGAAUUAGACUUAUUAACUGGGCAAAUCUCCAUCUGCUCAAACUCCACCUGUUUUGGAGUACACUCCACCUGCUGUGGAGUAUUGCUCGUCUGAAUAUCUUUAUCUGCUACCUUUUUCAAUGUGGCAGAUUCAUCAAAGGUAACAUCUCUGCUACAGAUCAUUUUCUUUGUGCUUAAACACCAAAGACGAAAUCCCUUCACUCCAUAAGUGAUUCCCAUAAAGAGAGCUUUCUUUGCCCUCGGAUCUAACUUUGACUCCUUCACAUGGUAAUAUGCAGUGGUUCCAAACACAUGUAAGGAAUCAUAAUCUGUAGCCGGUUUUCCAGACCAUACCUCCAUAGGAGUUUUUCUUUCUAAUGCAGAUGAUGGCAAACGAUUAACAAGAUGACCAGCGUAUGUCACAGCCUCAGCCCAAAAUUGCUUGCCCAACCCAACAUUGGACAACAUACAUCGAACUUUCUCCAGCAAUGUUCGAUUCAUACGCUCUGCCAAUCCAUUCUGCUGUGGUGUAUCCCUAACUAUGAAGUGUCGAACAAUACCAUACUCUUGGCACACAUCGAAGAACGGAUCACUUUUAUAUUCCCCUCCAUUGUCCGUCCUAAGCCGCUUGAUUUUCUUGCCAGUCUGGUUUUCGAUCAUAGUUUUCCAUUUAAGAAAAACUCUAAGCACUUCAUCCUUAGUUCUUAUGGUAUACACCCAAACUCUUCUGGAAAAGUCAUCAACAAAAGUAACAAAGUAGUGUUUUCCUCCCAAUGAAGGUGUCUUGGAAGGCCCCCACACAUCUGAGUGAACAUAUUCCAAAAUACCUUUUGUAUUAUGGAUAGCAGUACCGAAUUUCACUCUCUUUUGCUUUCCCAGAACACAAUGCUCGCAAAAUUUUAAUUUGCAAGCCUUUGUACCUUUCAACAAUCCUUGCUUUGCCAGAAUUUGCAAGGAUUUUUCGCUGGCAUGUCCCAACUUCAUAUGCCACAACUGUAUUGAGUCCAAUUCUUUGUUGCCGGAAGCUGCAGCGACUGCUCCAAUAACUGUACUACCUUGGUAGUAAUACAAGUUAUUUUUCCUGAUGCCCUUCAAUAUCACAAGUGCGCCAGAUGUCACUUUCAAAAUCCCAUCUCUCAUAGUAACAACUGAACCAUUAGAUUCCAAGGCUCCCAAUGAGAUGAGAUUUUUCUUCAAACUGUGCACGUACCGAACAUCAAUCAGAACUCUGGUUGAUCCAUCUUGAUUCUUUAAUUGGAUUGAACCUAUCCCAACAGUUUUACAGGCAUUGUCAUUGCCCAUAUAAACAACUCCUCCAUUUAGUUCUACUAAAUCAGAGAACCACUCCCGGUUAGGGGACAUAUGAUAGGUACAACUCGAAUCCAACAUCCACUCAUCUGAAUGGAACGACGAUGAUGAUGCAACCAGUGAUAGUUCAGAGUCACUAGUAUCAUGCUUUGCAACACAAGCAUCUACAGCAGCUUUUCUCUUAUUCUUCAGCUUUGGACAAUUUUUCUUCCAGUGGCCUUUCUCAUGACAAAAAAGCACAUUCAUCUUUCCCGAGUCUGGACUUUGACUUUGAUCUCCCCUUUUGAGUUUUCUUCCGAGUGUAUGAACGACCUCGGACUACUAAAGCUUCUGUAUCUCUGAUUGAGUUUUUCUGUUUGUCCUUCUUUCUCUGUUCAUAACUGUAUAAGGCCGCACAGACUUCGCUCAGAGAUAUAUCACUCCUGCCAUGAAGUAGAGUAGUUUCUAGGAACUCAAACUCCUCAGGAAGUGACCCCAAUAGCAUCAAAGCCAAAUCUUCAUCUUUGAAUGUCUCAUCCAUAUUUAGCAAAUCAGUGACUAACUGAUUAAAUUUGGUGAUGUGAUCAUUCAUUGUGGUACUUGGGACGUAUGUGAAGCGAAACAGUCUUUUCUUCAAGUGGAGCUUAUUUUAACUGUUUUUCUUCAAAAAAUUUUCUUCAAAAAUUUUUCUUCAAGUGCCACCCACAACUUAUUUGCAGAAGUCUCCUUUGAAAAAGCAUACCUCUGCUCUCGAGAAAGGCAUGAUCGAAUUGUGCCACAUGCCAACCGAUUGAUCGCCUUCCAAUCUUUCUCAUGUACAUCAUCUGGUUUCUCUUCAUCAAUGGCAAUGUCUAGACCCUACUGAAAAAGGGCAUCUAGAACCUCACUUUGCCACAUACCAAAAUGGCCCGUGCCAUCAAAGAUCUCCACAGCCAGUCUUGCAUUUGCAAUUGUCGGUCUUGUCCACAUGAACGAUGUUGAAGCUCCUACACCGACCGUUUUCUCCAUAAUCUUUCCAUAUACCUAAGGAAAUCUUUUCUGAUGUGGAAGAUCAGUUCAAACUGCAACCACAGAGCAUACUACGAUUAACCUUCGGCUCUGAUACCACUUGUUGUUCCAAUAGGGUCGGAAGCGUGUAAAUUAUUGUACUAAAAAAUCACACAAAGUUCAAUUCCCAGGAAAGAGAGGUGGAUCACAUGGAUCUCUUAAAUACCAAGUCUUUCCUUAGACAGAAUAUCCCUUCUAUAGUAAUUUAAUAGCACAAUUAAAUACUACUAUUAUACCCUCAAAUAUUGAAAGGAAAAUAGGACAAGAAAGAACACAAGAGUUUUAACGAGGUUCGGUAAAUUAUACCUACGUCCUCGGGCACUAACACCAGAUGAUAACUUUACUAUCUCCAAAAUAUUACAAACAAAUAGAAUUCCUUAAGAAUUCUCAAAUGGGAGAAGAGAGAAAACUAAGAGAGAAAGAUUGGUUGGGAUGGUUGAAAUGAGAAAUGGUUAGGCCUAUUUAUAGUUGAGGUUCAGGGACUAACUUGCAAAUGGCCUAAAAAAUUAAGGACCAAAAUUGCAAUUAUCCCAUUCAACUUUAAACAACUUGCCUAUCACUUUUUUUUUUCUUUCGGUGCCACUUGCACCUCCCAUUUUUGACUUUUCAACCCCUUUUUAAUUUGACUUAUCAACAACACUCGAAUGGGCAAUGGCAGAAUUACUUUGUAACCCAAAAUCUUUACUAGAAGCCCGAAGAGAACUACAACAAAUAAUUGGCAAAGGGAACGUAGUGGAGGAAUCUGAUGUUACUCGUUUACCUUAUUUGCAAUCAAUUCUAAAGGAAACGUUGAGAUUGCAUCCUCCGGCUCCUUUCUUACUUCCUAGAAAAGUUGAAGCAGGUAUUGAGAUUCACAACUUUGUAGUUCCAAAAGACGCACAAGUGUUGAUCAAUGCAUGGGCUAUAGGCAGAGAUCCCAGUAUCUGGGAAGAAGCUGACUUGUUUCAUCCAUAAAGGUUCAUAGGAUCAGAUAUAGAUGUUAAAGGAAGGAACUUCGGUCUGAUUCCAUUUGGAGCUGGGCGACGAAUUUGUCCUGGAUCGCCAUUAGCCAUGAGAAUGUUGCACUUAAUACUGGGUAGACUUAUUCAUUCAUUUGUUUGGGAACUUGAAGAUGGAAUCACACCUGAAAGCUUAAACAUGGAUGACAAGUAUGGCAUUGUUCUACAAAAAGCUCAACCAUUAAAAAUCAUCGCACAUUCAGUCUAAAAACAUUCUGUUGAAUAUUUGUUGAACGUUGGCAACAAUGCAACAGCAAGGAAAUGUUUAGUGUGUAAUUUGGUUGUUGGAACUUUUUGUAAUAUGUAAACUAAGUUUAGUUUGGUUGUAAUUUUGUUUUUACUAAGGUUAGUGAGCUACUUAGCUGAUUUAGUAGCUUUUUAACUUAUCAUUAAGUUGAUUUUACAGCUUGGAUACUAGCACAAGUUAUAUUUGUUUUCUUCCAAUGUUAUGGAGCUAUUUAUAUAUAUAUUGUAUUGUUACUAAAACUAGUAAUGAGAAUUAUCAUUUUUCUCUCAACAGAAUUCUUCUUUUGCUUCUGUUUUUCAUCUUUCAACACAAAUUUUCUUUGCUUUUAAUCUUUGGAGCAUCAACAAUAGAAGGGUCAAAUAAAAAAUUUAGGCUAAUUAGAUUUUUAACCUUGUAAAAGUUAAAUUUUAAAAAAAAAUUGAUAUUUUAUAGUUUGUAUAUAAACAAGGUCUAUGAUGGACUUGAAAAGACUCCUUGAUUUGCCUGGCUAUUGAAUAGAAAAAAAUCAAUUUAUUUUCAUUCUUACUUUGUAUGAAAGAGUGGCAUUCUGUCAACUUUUGUCUCCAUUUUAAUAUUUUGGCUUAAUUUUUUCCCAAGCCCUUACCCUUUCACCUACCACCAUUUUCAUUCAAAUCCACUUCCAUAACCAACCAAAGCAUGAUUAAUUUCAGGCUUUACUUAGCUUUAGGUUGAUAUUCUUUCCAGUCAGGAAUCGUAAGAAAUGUAUCUACACUAAAAAUCCUUCAAACCGGUAUUUACCAUCUUUCUGGAAUAUCGGAAUUGACAAAUUUAUCCCUUAAAGUUAACUCAAUUUUAAUUCAAAAAGCGCGUUGGGCUAGAGUCGUUUUGGCUGAUAGUUGGAAGGAUGAGUCGACCAUGCUGUAUUCGGAUUUCCGCGAACAAAUGAAGGGAGAUAAUGAUCAGAUUUAAAUGUCCCACGCUGUUAAGGCCGUUGAUCCGAGUUAGAUUCUUCAAAAUGCAAGACUAUAGAGGUCUUGAAUUGAGAAUGCGUGUAUCGUAGUUAGACAAUCGGUAAGGGUUAGUUUGCAGGUUGUACCGAAAUCAACUACGAAGGAAAAAUUGACGGUUAGGACAUUCUUAGCCGCUAUAACUAGCUUAUUGUUUGGAGGAAAAAACUCAUUUUCGAGGAUAGAUUUAGAAACCAGAAUUCACCGAGUCUAGGGCUAAGGCUUUAUAAUUGUGUUUACAGAAUUCAAAUUCAUUUUCUAAUUUAUUUUAUUUUCGAUUUACAUAAUUGUUAAUUUUUGCUAUCUCACUUAUUUAAUUUCUAUACAUUUUUAACUCCCCUAAUUUAUUGUAUUUAUUUUUCAAUAGGUCUGUUUUGAGUCGUGUGUACGGCUAUUGCCACGAUUAUCGACACGAAAGAAAUUCUGUUAAUAAGAGAAACACGAAAGUUAAUUAUAAGUACCAAUCCAUGUGGACUCAACCCUAUUACUCUUAAUUGUUUAGAGUUAUUUUAUCGUAGGAAUUUUUAUUUGGUGGUUUCACGGACAUUAUCAUCUAAAUAAAUAAUAAAAAUUUAAAAUACAAUAUUUUUUCUCUAAAUUAAAUACAAAUAAAAAAUAAUAUCAACAUACAAAUCAUGUCAAUAAUAUGAUAAAACAAUUCAUACAAAAAGCACAAAAUUAAGCAAACUCCAUCUCUUUAUUCCCUUUCUCUCUUUCUCUCUCCAACCGGAAAAGUAAAAAAAAAAAUAAAAAUAGGGGACACAUGUAAGAUAGACAAGUAGAGUCGGGAUAUGAGUCUUGUACGCCAUUAAUGAAGUAAAGAGUUAAUUUAUUAGUAUAUUGAAGAAAAAAGCUAAUAACUAGUUCAAUAAACUGCUAUUCUCGCCAUUGACUCAGUGAUACACCGUUAUAAUUUAAUUGUUGAUUUGUAUAAUAAAAAAUGCAACAAAAUUAGAAAUUGAGAAACCGCCUAAAAACAACUCGGUAACUGGUAAAGAGCUGUAGCAGCAACUUAUAUGUAAAAUAUAAGAAAAGAAAAAGAAAAAAGAGAAUGUAUGGAAUGUUGAUAUAUUUGUGUUUUAGACUGCUUUUCCCUUAAAACUCCUAUUUUCAUUGAUUUUGUGUAAUUGAAAUUAGCAGGCAAAGUUGAAGCAGUUAAUCCCACAAAGCUGAGUCUGAAAUGGGAGCUUAUUUACACCACUUCCAAAUCUAUUUUGGACUUCAGUUUCAGCUCCCAAACAACGCUGCUACUUUAGUCAGAAAUGGAGACCGCGUUCAGUUUCAACUUCCAAAUAAGCAGCGGGGCGUAGAAAUUUUUUUAUUUUAACCUUUUUAAAAUUUUAAAAUUAAUAAAAGUUAAAUUAUAUUUUAACUCCUUAAAAAUAUAAAAUUUUAAUUUAAUUUUUUAAAAUUUACAAUUUAAUUUUCUCCCUAAAAAAUUUUCUGAUUUCACCCUGCAAAUAAGGUUAAUGCUUAGAAUUGCUAUAAAAUAAAAUGACUUUACUGUACCUAAAUAUAUAUUAUUUAUUUAUUUAAUAGGAUACUAAUAAUAAGGAAAUAUGAUGAAUUUCUUGACUUGGUUAGUGUGCCCUGUUUUGUUCUUGCUCUUGUUUCAAGCCUUCAAGAAAUUAUUGGUCAAUAUGCGAUACAACAAAAAAUAAAUAAAAUAAAAGCAUAAUAUCCUAUAAGAUAUAAUAAAAUAUGAAUAAAUAAAUAUAUAAAAAUUUUAACACAUGAUAAUUUUCUAAGUUUGUUCGUGAGAUUAGAAAAAAGCAUAAUCUGUUCUUUAAAUAAUAACUCACUAUUAUUACUUUAUUAAUUUAAGAGUGAAUUGCACCAAAUAUCUUCAAACUAUGAUUUUAUUUUAAAUUUGUCCUUAAAUUUUAAAAUAUUCUAAUCACAUUAGUAAACUAUCGAGUUUAUCUCAAUUAGGUUCUUUUGUUACUGUAAUUGGCCCAUUUCGCCCGGGCUCGCUAGAGAAAACCCAAAAAUAAAAAAAUAAACAAAAACAAAAAUAAAUUAAGAUAAAAACCAAUAAAAAUCCAUCAUCAAUGUCCUUUUACAAAUUUUCAGGCCCAAAUAAAGAACUUAUACCAGCCCAGAUACAAUUUUAACCCAAAUUCAUAAACCCAUAUCCUAAACCUAGCCCAAAUCCGGAACUCAAAAAGAAGUUCAGUGGUUGAGAGCACCAGAAGCUUCUGGAAUAUGCUAGAGAGAGUUGGGCUCCCACGAGUGGCUCCUCGCACGGCCUCCUUCGCAUGUCUCCCCGCUCCUCCGUACGGCCGAGUUUGCACAAGAAUACACCAGAAGAACCACUAACAGAAUACAACAAAUAAAUGUAAUUUUUAUUUUUAUUUAUUCUAAAAAAUCUGGCUAUAAAAACCCGUCGAUUUCAUCUUUGUAAGGGGACGCAUGCACUAUAAAAUACGCAUAUUAUGCACACUAAAUAUUAGAGAAGGCAUUUUGAAAGCAUAUUCUUGAAGGUGAUUUUCCAUUUUCUUCAAAGUUCUCCGUCGAAUUAUCUUGUUUUCUUUUUCAAUCUUGCAACACUAUUGUGUUUAAGAUAUCAAAAGAGAAAAUAAAGGGCGAGAUCUUACCUUGCGAAUCGGCCGCAGAUUUGUGAUAACCCGAAUUAGGGCCUAAUUGGAAUAGUAGUUUUUGGACCACAAAAUAUGAUAUAGAAAUAAUUAUUUUAUGAUUAUUUUGAGGUCUAUGAUAUGAUUGCAUGAUUGUGUGAAAAUUUCGUGAAGAAAUUUUAUGCAUAAAGUGCUUAAUUUGAAGUUAGGGACUAAAUUGAAUAAGUUGUAAAACUUUCAUUCUAGAAGUUUCUAGUAUGAAAUUGCUUUGAAAUAUUAAUUAGGAGGUCUUAAAUAGCAAUUUGAAAAAUUUAUAAGUUUAUGGACAAAAAUUGGACAUGGAUGAAAUUUUUGAAAGUUUAGUAAGGAAGGGCAUUUUGGUCAUUUGGAUAUUAAAUGAAAUAAAAUGGGAAAAAUAACACAAAAAAGAUCAUCUUCUCCAUAAUUUGCUGCUGAAUUUUUCUCUCCACCAUAGCUAGGGUUUCAACACUUUUAAGCCUUGAUUGUAAGUGAUUUUUAUGCCCGUUUUUAAUGUUCUUUACAUUUUUGAAACCCUCGUAGCUUGGUUUACCUAUUUCUAUCAAUAUUUUGAGCUAGGGUUAUAUUUAAAAUUUUACCCAUGGAUGAUAUGUAUGAAUUUUGAUGUUUUAUGGUAGAAUAUGAAGUUUGAGAUUGUGUUAAACAACUUUUGCUAAGUGAUUUUUCGUAAAAACGAGUAAAAUGACAUAAUCGGUAAAAAUACCUAAUAUUCAUAAGUACAUGUUAGAGUGUGAAUUUGAUGUUGCUAUAGAAGGGAAAAAUGAUCAGCAUGUCAUAAAACAUAAGAAAAUAGGCUGAGGUUUAAUUUACGAGCCUUGGGGAAAAAGUGUAAAUAUGUGAAAGUUUAAGGGCAAAAUGGUAAUUUUGCCAAAGUUCGUACUAGGGGAUGUUUUGAUGAAUGUGUGUAUUAAAUAAAUUAAUUUGGUAUUAUAGAUCAAGAGAAAAAAGAUUCGAAUCAAAAUCGGGGGAAAAAUAAAGUUUACGAGGAAUAGGCUCGACUAUUCUCAUUUUGUAUCGAGGUAAGUUCAUAUGUAAAUAUUGUAAUAUAACCGUUAUUUUAAAUCAUUUAAUGCUAUUUAUACGAUAUUAUGGUUGUUAUCAUGCAAUUCUAUGCUUUGUGGUCAUUGUUGGACAGCAUGCAAAAAUUUUAUGAAUUAUGUGAAAAAUGUGAAAGACUACCGAAGUAUCGUCAUUGGUAUUCCAAGGAGAAUGGUAAAGGAGUGUGAACGAGGAAAGUCCCGUUGAACCUUAAGAAUAGAUUAGGAUAUUUGGGCAUCCGAACUCGUUGAGUUGAGUCCGAGUUCACUUAUGGAUGCGAACGUCCGAACUCGUUGAGUUGAGUCCGAGUUCAUGAAAUGUAACUAGGCAUCCGAACUCGUUGAGUUGAGUCCGAGUUCACUUAUCGAUACGAACGCCCGAGCUCGUUGAGUUGAGUCCGAGUUCGCUUAUGGGCGGGUUACAUGGUAGCUUGGCUACAUAUGUGGCACUUAUGUGCAAACUUUCCAUGUAUCCGAGUUAUAUUCCGAUGUGUUCAACGGGUAAAAUUCUAGUGAAAUGGAAGAAUACUCAAGAUGCAAGUGACGUAUUGGUAAGUGUUGUGGAAUGGGCACUUUGGACAGGUAUGUACUUAACCCUCGGGUUGAGACUUGAUACGACAACAAUAAUAUGGUAAGAUGAUGAAUGAUGAAUAGAAAUGUGAUACAUGUUUUGGUGAUAUUAUGUUAAUGUUGGUUGGUAUAAUUGCUUUGUUAAGUUAUUUUUUAUUUGCAUGUGGACUUACUAAGCAUCUAUGCUUACUCCCUCCUUUUCAUUCUUUGUAGUUUUGACAAGUCAAUUUGGAGAUCGGGACGGCCGAAGGCACGUUCACACUAUCACUGGACAAUCGCGGUAUAAUGACUUGAAAUUUUUGGAAAUAUGGCAUGUAUAGCAUUCCAAUCAUUUUGUGUGUAUAAUCUUACGAUAUGGCCAUGGAUGGAAUGGAAAUGUUUGAGAAUGAUUAGCUAUUGGAAUGGCUAAUCAAGUUUAUAUAUGAUAACAUGUAUGCUUUAUGUCUUAACUAAACCAUGAAAAUCCUUGGAAAGGUAAAAUUUGCCACAAAACAGAAUUAGACAGCAGUAGUGGCGUGAAUUUGAAAAUUCACUAAAAAUAUUAAAAAUGGAAUUAAAUGAUGAAUAAGUUAUGGAAUCGAAUCUUGAUGAGUCUAUUUUCAUAUGGAAGAAACAAAACAGGUAAAUAAGUUAUAUUUUAUGAGAUAUUUAAGUUUUGGUGGAACAGGUUCAGAGCGAUCUCUGAAUCCCCUAUUCUGACUUUAAAAAAUUCACCAUAAAUUUUACAAAAAAACAAUUAGGAGUUUUAAAUUACAUAUAUGAAAUCCUUAUUGAGUCCAGUUUUAUGAGAAACAAACGACAUAGUCAUUGAAACUCUGUACAGGGAGAUAUCUGAUUCGGAAUACACAGGGGUCAGAGUAGCCGAACCUUGAAACAUGGGAGACUUUAACUAAUAAACUGUACUAAUUGGCCUGACUAAAAAUUCUAGAAAAAAAAUAGUAAGUAGAUAUAUGAGUCUAGUUUCAAGGAAAAUUUACAGAAUUUGAUUUCGAGUUUUUUAAUUCGAGAUAUGAAUUUUUUAGAGAUUGUGACGCAGUUAGCCAGCUUGUCUGGAAAUUCUAAAAUAAAUUGUUUGAGCUGUUUAAUUAAUGAAUUAAGUCCGUUAACAUCUCGUGCUCGACUCCGGCGACGGUCUCGGGUGCGGAGGCGUUACAAGAUUCAUCUUGGCUUCGUUGAAAUCGGAGUUGAAAGGGGAAUCACAAGGCUAAAAAUUAUCAUCAAGAGCCCGAAUUUGUCGGUUGCUGUUUGUGAAGGUAGAUCGGCGCUAGUGCUAAAGGGGUAGAGUUCGGCUAAGGAGAAAAGAUGGGUAGGCUAGGGUUUUGAUAUGAUUUGAUGGAAUAAAGGCAUUGUUUAGCCUUUAUAAAAUGGCAGAAACAGCGCCGUUUAAACCAAUCUCGGUGGUUUAGAAACGACGUCGUUUGGACGACAUAAUCCGAUGAUCGGACCCAUGCUUGUACUAGAUCCGCGCGUUUGGCUUUAAAUGGCAAAUUGCGCGCUGAGUCCUCUUUAUUUGCGCAGGUAUUCAAUUGUGCAUGGCUGGUUUUACUUCAUUUUUAGAAUUUAGCCUUGUAAUUUGAAUACGUUUACAAUUCAAUCUGCGCCUACACACUGCGUUUUGGGAUCUGGAUUAUUUCCAGUUUUAGUCCCUGAACAUGCACGCGUGUUUCGCAUCGAUCCUUAUUGUAAUUCUAUCAAUUAUUUUAUUUAUAAACUAUCCCCUUCAUUUUAAAUUUGUUCUAUUAAGUUUUCCAUUUAUUAAUUGGUGGUUUAAAAGGUAUUCAUUUUUUUUUUGCUGAAAUUGCUUUAAUAAUUUUUUUUUUUAAAGUUCACUAUUUUGAAGCUUGUAAUAUAUUAUUUCAAGGUUAUGUAUAAAAUUCUAUUUAAACUUUUAUAUGUACAUACUCAUGCAUACCGAAUUUUGCUUUCUAUUUGAAAUAAUUAUCAUUUUAGAAUUCAUUUUAUAUUUUUAUUCGUUUUAUUGAUUAUGUUUUUUUUUCCUCCAUAUAAUUAUUUUGAAGUUGGUUAUAUCAUGGAAUGUCUCGUUUAAAUAUUUUUGUGUAUAUAUGUGCAUAUAAUACUUUAAUAGUUAAAUCAUUGUUUUAAAAUUCAUAUUCUUUUGAAGUUCUUUGUAUCAUAUUCUUUUAAUAUAUUAUAUAGUAUCUCAUUUAAGUGUUUUUUUCCAUAUAUGUCUAUAUGUAUAAAGCAAAAUUAAUUUAAUCUUGUAUGCAUCUCUAUGUUAUUUUUAUAAAUAAUUAUUACUAUAUCUAUUAUGUGUGUUUUGUAAAUCUAUUAUGUGUGGUAUAUGCUAUCAUGUAUUUUAUUAUUCUUUUAUAUUUUAUAUAUUAUUUAAGUUAUCAUGUAUAUUGUCAAUUUUUAAAAUGAAUUUGUAUUUAAAAUAUUUUUGCAUAUUAUUCGAUUCAAAUAUUUUAUUCUACAAUACUUAUUUCAAUAAUCAUAUAUUCCUAGUUUUUAUGCAAAUUUGUCAAUUUAUAUUAUAUAUAUUAUGUGUUCAUUCAUCUAUUUUGAAAUUGUCUUGUACACAUUGACUUCUAAUUUCUAUUUUAUUUUGUAAAUGUUUUGUGAAUUGUUUUAUAUCGUGCAAUAUUUAUUGUUGAUGUAUAUCACUUAGUCAUUGUCAUAUCUAUUGUAUCCAUUGUUCUCCAUCCAUGAUUAAGAAUUUGGUUACAUUUACUUAGAAUAGUUGUAUAUAAUUGUUGGAUUUAUUAAUUGUGAUUUAUUGUACUAUAUUAUUUCAUGUUCAUUAAUCCCUUUUCUAUGCAAAUGUUUCGAUACAAUGCAUUAAGUAUCUCAUCUAUUUUAAAAUAAAUAAACGUGUUUUGAGCUAAUUUUUAAUUUUCCUUAUUAGUAAAAAAAUUUGAAAUAAGGCAAUAUUCAAUAUCUGAGAAUUUGAGAAAUCGUGCCCUACGUGCUGGGUAUGAUUUUUCGGUGAACUAAAUAUUUGGAUAUCCUUUUAUAAUUUUAACGUACGAGUUUUCGAGGGUCAAAAAUCAAUCGUAUUUUUGAAGGUAUAAAGGAUCGUGUCCAAUCGUGUUGGAUAUGAAGCUGCAUAUCUUUGAAACGAGAGAAUUUUGUCCGCUAAUUUGAACUAUUCAAACAUUUUUAAAAAGAAUCACACUUCAAAAUUUUUUUUAAAACCUUUGAUAUAAGGAUAGCAUCGAAUCAAUUUGGUACCAAUUUUUGGGCGUAAUGAGGGUGCUCACUCUUCCUCAUGCGUAACUGACUUCCGAACCCAUUUUUGAUUUUACGUGAACCAAAAUUGCCUUUAAUGGAACAAAACGUUUUAGUAGGUGACCCAGUCACACCUAAACCAAGAGAUUGGUGGCGACUCCACAUUAAGUUUUAAGAAGUCGAUUCCCGAUUUUUUCCUAAAAUAAAAAAAUGGUUUCGACUGCUAUUAAAAUAAUUAAUUUAAUUAUGUUAAAUGACACAUCAGAUCUUAUACCACAUAAUUUAAAAUGAAAACUUUAAGAAAAAAUAAAUAUUGCAAAAUGAUGUUUUGAAAUCUUAAUUUUUAGGUUUUUGAAACUUCUACAAAAACUUUACCGUUCUUUUUUUUUUCUUUUAUGCAACAAUGUUCUAUUUCUUCAAAUUUUUUAUUUUAAAUUUAGCUAUGUAAAAUUUAAUGUGUCAUUUAAUGGUUAAAUUAACAGUUUUAAUAAAGAAAGAUCACAAUUAAUAUAACAUCGAUAAUUUUGGGAUGUAACUAGGAUGUUUUGAAGUUUGAGAACCAAUUUAAAAUGAGAGACAUAGUUUGGGAAUGUCUAGUGCAAUUGACUCUUAAUUUAAUUGAAGCUAAUUUUUCGAUAUAAUUAAGGUUCCUCCGUGUCUCAUUUUACCGUCCAUGAAGACUAAUCAUUUCGGGGACCUAAAAAUGUUUUUAUGUAUUAAUUAAUUUAAAUUAAUAUAAUUCAUAAAUGAUAUGUCUGCUUAUUUAAGUUUAAAAAAAUUUAAUUUUUAAUUAAUUUAAUUUAAUUUAAAAUAAAUAAUAAACAUAUAUUUGUUUAUUUUCUAUUAAUAGUAAGAUGUAAGUUUAUUGUUAUAUUUAUUUGUAUUUUGAAUUUAACAUUUUAGAAAACGGGUGGUUCAGUAUUUAAAACACUUUUAAAGCUUGUCCUACAUAUUGACCACACGUUGAGUUAGCAAUUCGUAUACGUAUCGUCGUUUUGUAGGAACUAUGGAUAUGGAUAUGGAUAUGGAUGUGGAAAGAAAAAAGCCAAAAGAUUGUCUCCAAUGGCAGUAUAGAAACAAUGGAUAUGGAUAUGGAAUUCAUUCAAUUUCAUCUAGUUUUGGAUUUAUUCCCCCCAAAAAAAGUGCAUUUGAUUUUGUUCCAUCUUUUUAUUCAUAAAUUAAAGAAUCCAGUUUUAAAUUUUUAUUUAACAUAUAGUAGCUUUAAAUUUUUAUAAUAUAGUUUAAUUAAGAAACAUUGAAUUACUAAUAUAAAUUAUUAUUUUAUUUUUAAAAAAAUUAAAACAUUCAACAAAAUUUGUGUCUUUUUUUACUCGACUAAUCUAAAAUAAUUAAUUAUUUAUAAAAAUGACUCAAAUCAAAAUUUAUUUAUGAAAAUGAUCUAUUUUCUAUAGUGUCUGCCGAGGCUGCUUGACACAGCGACAGCAUAGCCCCCAAUGAUGACCCAAUCAUCGAUAUUUAAAAAAGUUAAUUUUUUAAGUGCUUCCAUUGUGUUAAACAACCAGUCUGUAUUUUUCAAAUUACUCGUUAAAAAUACGGGUAUUCAAGGAGGGAAACAAAUAUUUUUUAAUGGAUGUCGUCAGUCUAUCAGGCGGUAUUGGUGGAGAUUUAAAAAAAUAGGUGAAACAAAAAAAAAGAAAGAAAUAGUUGAAAUAGAAAAAAACCGAAAAAUAAAAUAAAAGGGGAAACCCGUGACCGAUGCUUACUUCAUAGGUGAUUCAUGUCUUCUUUGUUCGUCAAUGUCACCAUCAAUGGCUGAAAUAUUAUUUCAAAAAAAUAAUCUUAGAAGAGAUAGAGAAUGAGAAAGAAAGAGAUAUGGGAGAAAAAUAGAGGGACAAAAAAAAAACAAAGAGAUACGAGGGAGAGAGAAAGUCAGAUAUGAGAAAAAAAAAUUGAAUAACAACUAUGUAAAAUAAAAAUAUGAAAAGGAAUUGAAUAAUUUAUAAAAAAUAGAGAAUCAAAUAUGUAAAGAAAAGAAAAAAACAAAUAGGAAAAAUAGAAAAUCAAAUAUGGGAAAGGAAGGAGAAUAACACAUUCCUUUUCAUGUCUCUCUUUUCUAUGUAUGUUAUUAUCUUUCCUUUCACAUAUUUAAUUCUCUAUUUUUUAUACUCUCUUUUCAUUCGAAUUUUUCUUUUUUUUCUCAAUUAAAAACUUUAGUCAUCCUAUUUAAUAGUCAUCGAUGUUGCUAUUUAUGGUGGCCUUCGGUGCCAAUUUUGACACUAAAGAAGAGAUUUCCUCCUCCUUGUUGACUUCUACGAUUUAAAUCUCCCAGCAGUCGGCUCUAAAAUUUCUAAAAUAAUGACCAAAGCUUCAAAUUACUCUUUUAUAAUUUUUUUAAAUAUCACCAAUACCGACUGACAUGACAAUGACACCUAAAAGAUAUUUUUUUAAAAAAUUUUAACGGGCCAAAAAAAUAAUUUUUCUAAAAAUAUUUAUCAGUGCCGCCUGACGUAUUGAUGAUACACAAAAUAUUUUUGAAAAAAAAUUCUCUGGUGUCGCCUGACAAGCUGACGGCACUCAUUAAAAAAUACAUUUUUCUUUUUUUUUCCUCUUUGAAUAUACAUAUUUUUAAUGGGUAUUUUGAAAAAUAAAAUUUGGUGCCCCUUGACAUAAUGACAGUACAUAAAAAAAUUAAUUUUUUUAAAAGUUGAUGAUUGGAUCAUCAUUUGGAGUGGUGCCACCAGUGUGCGCAGAAAUUAUAAAAAACGAUUUUCAUUUAUAAAUUUUGACUUAUGUAAUUUUCUUAAAUAAUUAAUCAAUUUUCAUCAAUUAGGUAAAAAAAAUUCAACUUUUGUGGAAGUCUAGCUGGAUUCUUUCAGAGCUUAACAUUGUUAUAAAAGAUAAGAGGUACUUUCUAUUGUGUAUAACAACAAGCAGUUAAUAUGGAUUUCCUGAAUUGGUUAAUGUACUUUUUUUUCUCCUUGAUAUUGUUUCAAGCUUUCCAUUUGAUCACAAGAAGGAAAUUGGGAAGAUCCCAUAAGCUUCCGCCCGGUCCACCAACAAUUCCGAUCUUCGAGAACCUUUUCCAGGUUGGUGAUAAACCCCAUAGGUCCCUUGCCAAACUUGCCAAGAUUCAUGGGGACAUCAUGACUCUGAAACUUGGCCAGACUACUACCGUAGUUUUUUCAUCUGCAACAAUGGCCAAAGAAAUCUUCCAAAAGCAUGAUGCCGUAUCUUGUAACCGAACCAUUCCCGAUGCCCUUCGUGCCCUUCAACAUCACGAAGCCGGAUUGCCUUGGAUGCCUGUUUCAACCACAUGGAGAAAUCUUAGGAAAAUCUGCAAUUUGCAUAUUUUCGCUACUCAUAAACUUGACGCUAAUCAAUACUUGAGGCGCAGCAAAGUAGAACAACUCCUUGCUGGUGUUCGCGAAAGUUCCCUCAUCGGAGAAGCGAUUGAGAUACGUUAAGCUGCUUUCAAAACUACGCUUAGUCUCAUAUCAAAUACUAUUUUCUCCAUUGAUUUAGCCGACUCUACUCAUACUUCUGAGGAGUUGUUAAGUUUAGUUCCCAUGCAAAGGUGGCCAUGCACGACAUACAAAGGUGGUCAUGCUCCUGGAAUCGCAGCAAGCAGUGGUGCCAUGGUGUGCAGCAAUUAAAGUUUGAAGCUGCCAAUCUAUUUGCUAUUUUAGUUUCAUUUUGAUUGUUUUGUAAUCUAGUUCAUGUUGAACUAAGUAGGUAAAUGUUUUGAUAUUGAUUGACUGAAAAGUCAGCAAUGCAAGUUGUACAAGCUAAUCUUGUAAGUUUCAAUGCAAAUUAGUGGAGUUAGGUAGUUGAUUAGGUGAUUACUUGUUUGUUUUACUUAUUGACUAAUAUAUGUAAUGGCUUAAUGCCUUGUUGUAAUGUUAAUGAAAGAUAUCAGCUCUUUUUCAUUCAAUCUUCUUCUCUCUUUUCUGUUUUUUCACUUGCUAGUUUCAUCUUUCUGUUUUCUGCUUCCGAGCUUGCUUCUUCACCAAGGCUCGAGACUUACUACUCAAGCAAGACUUGAAACAGUUUGUUGCUGCCUCUUGCACCAACAAUUGGUAUCGAGAGCUCUUGUCUUAGUGGACCUGUUGCUUCAAAACAAGGAACUUGAUGGCUUCUUCAGGAUUUUCACCAGCAGCCCCACCAGUCUUCAAUGGAGAAGGCUUUCACAUAUGGCUGGUCAAGAUGAAGACUUACCUACAGGCCUUCGAUCUGUGGGAAGUUGUCAACACAGAUACUGAGCCAGCACCACUGAGGGCUAAUCCCACAGUAGCUCAGAUGAGGCAACAUGCUGAUGAGAGGACCAAAAGGCACAAAGCCAUGUCCUGCAUCCAGAACUGUGUGUCAGAUGUCAUCUUCACCAGAAUCAUGGCCUGUGAGACUCCAAAACAGGCCUGGGAUAAGCUUAAGGAGGAGUUUCAAGGCACUGAGAGAACAAGGCAACAGCAGCUGUUAAACUUGAGAAGGGAUUUCGAGAAUUUGAAGAUGAAGGAAGAAGAAACAGUGAAGCAGUACUCAGAUAGAAUUAUGGCAGUGGUUAACAGUAUAAGGCUCCUAGGUGAGCACUUUGAUGAGGCAAGAAUUGUGGAGAAAGUUCUCUCCACUUUGCCUGAGAGAUAUGAGGCCAAGAUAUCCUCCCUAGAGGACUCAAGAGACCUUGCUAGCAUCUCUUUGACUGAGUUAAUCAACACCUUCUAUGCUCAGGAACAAAGGAGAGCUAGCAGAGCUGAAGAUCACCAAGAAGGUGCAUUUCAAGCCAAGGCCAGAGAAACCUCGAGCAUUAAUGCUCAAAGAGGCAAAAAGCCUUGGAAAAACAGGCCUAAGCCUGAUGUUGCAAGAAGCAAUGACCAACCCUGCAGAUAUUGCAAGAAGCCUGGCCAUCCAGAAGACAGAUGCUGGUUUAGGCCAGAUGCAGUAUGUCAACACUGCAAGAAGAAGGGCCAUGUUGAAAGGGUCUGCAAAAACAGAAGUAAGCCAAGGCAGAAUCAAUUUCAGCAGUCAAAGGUUGAAGCUCGAGUAGCUGAGGACAGUAGUGACCAAGAAGAACAGGUCUUUGCUGUUUCCUGUGUAGCUUCUGAGAAGAAAUGCUCCAAAGGCUGGUUGCUGGACAGUGGUUGCACUAACCACAUGUCACCAGAUGCCUCCUUGUUUAAAACCUUGGACAGAAGUUAUAAAACCAAGGUCAAGGUUGGAAAUGGUCAGUUUAUAAGGGCUGAAGGAAGAGGAGAAGUGCUGAUAUGUACUCCCACAGGCAACAAGAUCAUUCCAAAUGUGCUGUUGGUACCACAAAUUGACAGAAACCUUCUCAGCAUAGCUCAACUGCUCGAGAAAGGUUAUUCUAUUGUGUUCAAAGAUAAACAAUGCCACAUUACUGAUCCAAGUGGAUCAAGCCUUAUGACAGUCACAAUGACUGAUAAAUGCUUUGAGGUUCACUGGGCAAAUGACUCAAACUCAGCAUACACAGCCUCUGUUGAAGACUCCAAGCUUUGGCAUCAAAGGCUUGGACAUGCUAACUUCAGAUCAAUGGCUCGAUUGGCCAAAGAGGGCUUGGCAGAGAACUUCAUCAGCUCAGUGGAGCAUGAUGAUGUGUGUGAAGUUUGCCAAAUGGGGAAACAGGCAAGAUUGCCAUUUCCUACAAAUUCAGCUUGGAGAGCUACUGAAAGACUGCAGCUGGUGCACUCUGAUGUAUGUGGCCCGAUGAGGACUGAAUCACUCAGCAAAAACAGGUAUUUCAUCCUCUUUAUUGAUGAUCUUACAAGGUUUUGCUGGAUUUUCUUUUUAAAACACAAGUCUGAGGUAGCUCAAGUGUUUGUGAAGUUUAAAAAUGCUGUAGAAACAGAAACAGGUUGCAAGCUGAAAUCGAUAAGGACUGACAAUGGCACUGAGUACACUUCAGCUCAAUUUCAAGCCAUUUGCAAUGAUGCUGGUAUCAAACAUUAGCUUACAAAUGUCUACACACCUCAGCAGAAUGGGGUAGCUGAAAGAAAGAAUAGAAGUCUGAUGGAUAUGGCCAGAUGUCUGCUGUUUGAGAAGGAACUGCCCAAAACUAUGUGGGCUGAGGCAGUAAACACUGCUGUUUACCUUCAGAACAGGCUUCCUACUAAAGCUCUUGCAUCCGAGACACCUUUCGAGGCUUGGUUCAGUUUCAAACCUUCCUUGGCACAUCUGAAGGUGUUUGGUUGCCUGUGUUAUGCACAAAUACCAGCAGCAAAGAGAGACAAGCUCUCCAAAAGGGCUCAACCAGGUGUUCUAGUAGGCUACAGCUCAGUCAAGAAGGGCUACAGGGUUCUGGAUCCCUUGACAAACAAAGUCCAGGUGAGCAGAGAUGUCAUCUUUGAUGAAAAAGCCUGCUGGAAUUGGGAGAAAAAUGAGCCAGAAGCAGUUUCAGAAGACCUAGUGCCUAAUCAAGCUGAACCUGAGCAGCUAGGACCUGAAAUGGAUGUUGAUGAUGUGCCUGUGAGAGGCACAAGGCCCCUAGAUGAUGUUUAUGAAAGGGCACAGGUUGCAAUAGCAGAACCUAGCAGUUUUGAAGAGGCUGAGGCAGAUGAAGGCAGGAAACUAGCUAUGGUCAAUGAAAUCAACAUGAUUGAAAAGAACCAGACAUGGGAGCUAGUUGAUAAACCUGUUGGAAAGAAGACCAUUGGAGUAAAAUGGGUCUAUCGAGUAAAACAGAAUGCAGAUGGCAGUCUGAACAAGCUAAAAGCCAGGCUUGUUGUCAAAGGAUUUAGCCAAAGGUAUGGUCUGGACUACCUGGAGACAUUUGCACCAGUAGCCAGGCUUGACACAGUCAGAAUGAUAGUUGCUUUGGCUGCUCAACAUCAGUGGAUCAUUCAUCAGCUUGAUGUUAAGUCUGCAUUUCUCAAUGGUUUCCUGGAAGAAGAGAUCUACAUCGAGCAGCCUCAAGGAUUUGUGAUCACUGGCAAAGAACACAUGGUGUACAGACUGAAAAAGGCUUUAUAUGGCCUGAAACAGGCUCCUCGAGCCUGGUAUGCUCGAAUUGACUCUUACUUACUCAGUUUGGAAUUUGAGAGAAGUCCCAGUGAACCAACACUGUAUGUGAAGAAGAACCAAGCUGAAACUCAGCUUAUUCUGUCACUCUAUGUUGAUGAUCUAUUGGUAACUGGAGGAGAUAGAAGAAUGCUGGAAAAUUUCAAAAGAAAAAUGAUGGAAAUGUUUGAAAUGUCUGAUUUAGGCAGAAUGAACUACUUCCUUGGAAUGGAAGUGAACCAAACAGAAAAGGGAAUCUUUCUUAGUCAGAGUUCUUUUACUAUGAAGAUCCUGGACAAGUUCUCUAUGAAGAACUGCAAGCCAACAAGCACACCAAUGGCUGUUGGAGUGAAGCUUUCGAGACAAGGGAGUGGUGAACCAAUUUGCGAGGCCAUGUACAAGAUUCUCAUUGGUAGUCUGUUGUAUUUGACUGCCACAAGGCCCGAUAUCAUGUUUGCUGUUAGUGUGCUAUCAAGAUACAUGAAUUGCUGCAAUGAUCAGCACUUUCAAGCAGCUAAAAGGGUGCUAAGAUACAUCAAAGGCACCAUUAGUCAUGGUGUAUUGUUAAAAAGGGCUGAAAACAUGAAGCUGAUAGGCUAUGUUGAUAGUGACUGGGCUGGAUCAAGUGAUGACAUGAGGAGCACAUCCGGAUAUGCAUUCAGUCUUGGCUCAGGCAUGUUUUGCUGGAGUUCUAAGAAACAAAGUCUGGUGGCACAAUCAACAGCAGAAGCUGAAUAUGUUGCUGCUGCAUCAGCUGUGAACCAAGCCAUAUGGCUUAGAAAAAUCUUAGCUGAUUUAAACCAAAACCAAAAGGAGGCAACAGAGAUUUAUUGUGACAACAAAUCUGCUGUUGCAAUUGCAAAAAAUCCCAUUUUUCAUGGCAGAACCAAGCACUUCAAUAUUAAGUUGCAUGUUAUAAGGGAGAUGGAACAAGCUCAUGAAAUCGAGCUGAUUCAUUGCAAUUCAGAAGUGCAAAUUGCUGAUAUCUUCACAAAGGCACUCAAUGUGUCUAAAUUUGUUAAAUUCAAAAGGGAAUUAGGUGUUACUAGCAUGGAAACUAAGGAGGAGUGUUAAGUUUAGUUCCCAUGCAAAGGUGGCCAUGCACGACAUACAAAGGUGGUCAUGCUCCUGGAAUCGCAGCAAGCAGUGGUGCCAUGGUGUGCAGCAAUUAAAGUUUGAAGCUGCCAAUCUAUUUGCUGUUUUAGUUUCAUUUUGAUUGUUUUGUAAUCUAGUUCAUGUUGAACUAAGUAGGUAAAUGUUUUGAUAUUGAUUGACUGAAAAGUCAGCAAUGCAAGUUGUACAAGCUAAUCUUGUAAGUUUCAAUGCAAAUUAGUGGAGUUAGGUAGUUGAUUAGGUGAUUACUUGUUUGUUUUACUUAUUGACUAAUAUAUGUAAUGGCUUAAUGCCUUGUUGUAAUGUUAAUGAAAGAUAUCAGCUCUUUUUCAUUCAAUCUUCUUCUCUCUUUUCUGUUUUUUCACUUGCUAGUUUCAUCUUUCUGUUUUCUGCUUCCGAGCUUGCUUCUUCACCAAGGCUCGAGACUUACUACUCAAGCAAGACUUGAAACAGUUUGUUGCUGCCUCUUGCACCAACAGGAGUUCCGAGAAAUUGUGCGGGGUAUCAUGGAAGAGUUGGGAAAACCCAACUUUGGUGAUAAUUUCCCUAUUGCUAAUCUUGACUUGCAAGGCAUCAGGCGUCGAGUGGCAAUUCUUUUUAGAAAGAUGAUGGAUCUUUUCGAUAAAAUGCUCAAUGAGCGGAUGGAGUUGAGAAGGAUGAAUGAUUAUAUAUCAAUUGAUGAUUUCUUGGAUAUCCUUCUCCAACUCAGCCACCAAGGAAACAGCGAAAAGCUCGACAGAAAUCUUAUCAAACAUUUGAUUUUGGUUGUAACUUAAUCUCUUUUCAGUAAUUUAUUAUUUAAGUUGUAUAAGUUGUUCAACUUGGUAAGAAAUUGUGAAACAGGAUUCGGUUGUAGGCGCAAUCGAGACAACUACAAGUACUUUGGAAUGGGCAAUGGCGGAAUUACUCCAAAACCCAAAAGUUUUGCAGGAAGCCAGAGGAGAACUGAAGCAAAUAAUUGGCGAGGGGAACUUGGUGGAGGAAUCUAACAUUACUUGUUUACCUUAUUUGCAAGCAAUUGUCAAGGAAACGAUGAGGUUGCAUCCAUCGUUUCCUUUAUUACUCCCCAAAAAAGCUGAAGCAGAUAUCGAGAUUCAUAGCUUCGUCAUUCCAAAAGGUACACAACUGUUGAUCAACGCAUGGGCUAUAGGUAGAGAUCCUAAGUUCUGGGAGGUGCCUGACUUGUUUCGUCCAGAGAGGUUCAUAAGAUCAGAAAUGGAUGUUAAAGGAAGGGAUUUUGGACUGAUUCCGUUCGGAGGUGGGCGAAGAAUUUGCCCUGGAUUACCAUUGGCCAUAAGAAUGUUGCACUUAAUGUUGGGUGGACUCAUUCAUUCAUUUGAUUGGAAACUUGAAAAUAACAUCACACCAGAGAGUUUAGAUAUGAAGGAUAAGUAUGGUCUUUUUCUGCAGAAAGCUCAACCAUUAAGAAUCAUUCCGAUUUCAAAUUAACAAUAUUGUGUUGGUUAUUUUAUCUAUAACUAUUGAAGUGUAAUAAGUGAAACUUAGCUAACGACAACUUAUUGUAUCGUAAAUUUCAUGUUUUCAAACUUUCUGCCAAUCAAAUAAAAAUCAUAUAAAUCUAUCAGAAGGAACCGUGUAAUGUGCAGCUAAUAUUAACAUUUGAACUUUAACGAAGGUUCAUUUCAUCUACAACCAAAAACUACUACCGCAAUACAUCUUCAAAAUACAUGGAAUAAGUAGCUUUUUUCGUCGUUACUUGAAGCUUAGUGCUCAGCCAUUUAAUUGGAAAGAGUUUCACCUUUGUUUCUAAGAUCGUUCCGAGAAACUAUGUAGACAAGAAUCCUGGUACCAAGGUUAUCAGUGUAUCUACAAGUACAUAUAUCAAUUUCGACAAACCCUCGUACCUUACUAGUGACAGCUCUUGUAGUUUUUAAAGAAAUGCACAGUUCAUUGUAAAUGGUACAUACACCAAUAGAUUACCAUUAUAUAUAGAAGUGACAAGGAUAAGCUUGCUAAGUUUAUAAUCAAAUUAUACAACAAAUGGGAUGUUAAAUUUGUCCAAGUUCUGAAUAGGGAUGACAAUAGAGCGAGACAGGGUGGAUGCUGUUAAAUCCUUCACCACUCUACAGUUAUCAUGCUCUACUUCACUAUUUGUCUUGCUUCACUGUGGAUGUAUAAUAUUAAAUAUUAUUACCAUCUCCAUAGAUGUUAGAUGCACCCAUCCUUACCCCACCUCACCCUGCUCUUGAAGAUGCUUUAAAACCAUUUUUUGUAACUCGUGUUUGCUUCUUCAUUGAGUUCUCUGCUCAAAGUAGGGAGUAAAAGAAGAAUAGUGGAAGUAGGGUGGUGUGGAGGGAAAGAAGAUGAACAUUAGUAAUGGGGAAAAAAGUUUAUAAAAAAAGAUGAUGUGGUGUGCAUAAUCAACCGACGUUAGAGAUUUAACAUUUGGGUGACUAAAAUAAAAAUUUUCUCUAACGACAGUGACCAAAUUGCAAGUAUUUUUAUUUGGAUGAUCAAAAUGAAAGCACCUAAAGAGUUGGGUGACCAAUUAGGUAGUUUACUCAAAAAUCUAUCUAGUAAUUUUCAAGAUGGCUAAUCUAACUUGUUUAAAAAUUUAAAGUGCUAAAAAUAUUAACUUUUAAGUUUAUUAGAUUUUUUUAACACUUCAUCAAACAAGGCCUAAAUAAAAAAAAAGAAGGAAAAAGAAAAAAUUAAAAAUCAUGAUGCUACACUCCUAUGAAAGAAAAUAUAUAAAAAAAUCAAGUUAAUUGAUAUGAAGUAGGUGUCCAAAUUUUCUAUUGAUAAAAUGUAGUUUAUAAGCUAGAAAAAGUUAAGAAAAUGUGGUUAUUGGUUGAAGGGAUUAUCUUGUCUAAAAGCUUUGCUUUAAUGAUUUAGAUGAAGAAUGGACGGAUAGAUUGUUUAUUUGGCAUCAUUACAACUUUUGACAUCACAAUUAAAAAUAGGUGGAGAAAUGAUAAGGAUUUCAAAUGGAAGAGAGAAAUUGGUAUCCCUCGAAUAUGUGAAUAUUUUUCCAUUUUUAUUUUCAUGGGAAUCAAUGGGAUACAGAUUAUUCCUGGGAAGCUUAUAUAAGUAAUUCAUAAUAUAUGUAUUUGAUUCUGAUUUUUCUAUAUCUGUCAUUCUUAAUUUAAUGAAUGAUAAAAGGUUAAUAGAAUACGUUAGGUAUGAAAAUUAAUAUACUUUUCUAUCUACGAAUGUUGAUUAUAUAAUAUAAAACUAAGAUGGUACUAAAUGUCAAUUCUAAGGCAAAUAGUUUCGUUGAGCUUCAUCCUUGCAAGUAUGAAGUGUGCUUCAAAAAGAGCUUAGAUGUUGACCGACUAGAAAACGGUAAGGGUUUCAAUUUGACCGCUUUGAACCUCCCCCCAAUCUUGAGGAUUUUGCAGCUUGGUGAUUGCUUUCUCCCAUUUUUCUUGCAUGUUGGGUUAAUUUGAAGCAAGCUUGGAUGUUUGUAGGCGCUGUUGAAGUAGUUGAGUUUCCAGAAUUGAAUACAAACGCUGUUGUUGUUUAGAUUCAAUCUCUUUAAGAUAUUGCCGAUGACUUGAAUUCCAAAUUGCAGCUUUAAUGGCGGACAUUGGUUUAUUGCUUCUUUACCCUCUGCAAGCUUUCAUUGAAAACUGAAACGGUCGGCCCUUCCAUUCAAUGUUUCUAGUUCCAUCAUCAGAAAGGAUCCAUGCACUAGAAGGCCCUCCAUAGCUUCAAAUCCCCACCCUAACCCAUCUCUUUACUUUCUCCUUCCUUUCUUUCUCUCUCAAUCAAUCUAAAAGCUUUUACCAAUUGGUCCUCUUUGUGUUAUGUACUAUUCAAAUGGAGGACACAACAGGAAGAUUAAAAUCUUCUCAGCAAGUGUUAGGAAAAAAGGGUUAAUAUGUCCCUUCAACUUCGCAAAUUAAUAAUACUUAAACUUUUUUCUAAUUUAAUCUGAACUGAAUUGAUAAUUUUUUUUAAAUUUUUGGUUGACUAUGUUAAAUUUUAUACUAACACACGUCUUAAAUUUUUUUUUUUGAAAAAUAAAAAUAAAAAUAAAAAAUUAAGAAUUUUAGGAAUUUCUUUUAUUCCAACAUGGAAAAAUCACAUUAACAACUAUUUUUCUAAGUAAUUUGGACAAUAAAACUGGAGUGCCUUAAAAAAUUUUUUUUGACAAUAAUCUCACAUCAAUCAAUCGAAUAUUAAUUAAUACAUAAUCAAUCAAACACUAUUUAAAAAUGGCUCUUUUGCUCAAAAAAAAAUAUUCCAAAUGUUAAGUUCAUUCUAAAAAUGUCUUUCUAGUAAUUUUAUAUUUUUAUAAUUUUAAAAAAAGAUUAAAUAUAAAAUUGGUACUUGAACUUGUCCACUUUUCUUAUAUUGGUACUUGUAAUUUUUUUGUCUUAGAUUGAUACCCAAACUGUUUUUAUGUCCACUAGAUUAGUACCUGAGCCUAACGAUGUUAAUUUUUUGUUGAUGUGGCAGCACUAGCCAUUCACGUUUUGCCACGUGUUAUCCUCUUUGGCUGCAAGUCAAACCCCCUUUAAUUAUUUUUCCUUUCGUUUUCUUUUAAAAAUUAAUUUUUUUUCCUUUCAUUUUUCUUUCACUAUCAUAUUCUACCUCUUCGCCUUCUAGCUCACUUUUAUCUCUUUUGUUUUUUCCUUUCACUAUCUGUUUUGUUUUCUACUUGAUCUCUUCGCUUUCUAUCUAUUUGAUUUUAUCUAUUCAUAACACAUCUUUUAAAGGAAGAAAACAAGCGAAAAUGUCUUUUUCAACAAAUAGAAAAUUAAGUGCUCAAAAAAGUUUUUGUACCCAUAAUGUUCAAAACAAAGAAACCAACAAAUUCAAAGAACAAAUAACAAACAAUAAAGAAUCCAACACAUUCAAAGAACAAAUAACAAACAAACAACCCAAAAUCUUAAAGAAGAAAAAAAAAGAACCUGAUAUAUUCUCAAUUUCAAUCUCAGUAACAAAUAAAGAAUUUAAAAUUUUCAACCCAAAAUCAUUUCAACUAGAAAAAAAGUUAACAACCUAAUAUAAUAGCAAGAACCUAAAAUGAGAGCAACAACCUAAAGAAUUACAAGAAUUUAAAAUUAUUUAAAAAUAAGAAAUUUACAACCAGAAAGAUAGCAAGAACUCAAAAAAAAUAAAUGAAAUACAAGAAUUUAAAAAACCCUAAAAAACCUACGGAUCCAAUGAACAACAAAGGCAAUUCCUCUCUUGAAUUUGUUAACCCUUAACUCCAUGACCUGAAGAACUUCUACUAGUCUCUAAGAAAAUUGAUUCUCUGUUGUUGCCUUGGCAGCGGUGUUGCUACUACUCCCUUUGGCUCCUCAACUCACUUUUAGCCUCACCAAAAGCCUCCUUAGUCUUUCUUCAGCAAGCGGAGAGUAUAAUUUCAAAAGCUCAAGGAUCAAGUUUUGAUUUUUUUUAUAGCUUUAAAGAGAUUUUCUUGGAAAUACAAGGCAAGAUUUGAGAAGAUAAGGAAGAGAGAAGUGUUGUAACACCCCACACCCGUACCCUACGUCGGGAUAAAAUACGAUGCGUUACUAAACUUAAACACAUGUAUUCAAAUGUUUCCGAGUCACCAAGACUUGAUCGAAUUUAAAACUUUUUUGAACCUUGUCUAAACUCCUUAAUAUGGGCCUACGAUGCCUCAAACAUUCAUUGGAAACCAUUUGGGGACCAACCUGGGUCAUUUAACUAACCUUAGAAAAAUAACUCUUAAAACAGGGCACACGUUUGUGUGGAAGGGCAACACGCACGUGUGGUUAUUAUAACACGGCCAUACUGAUAGCCCAUGUGACACACACGACCUAAGCAUAUAGGGACAGGUCCGUGUCCCAUGCCUGUGUGAAUUAAAUUCUAAUUCGAACCUACAGGGGUUUCAUACGGCCUGACACACGCCCGUGUCUAUAGCCUGUGUCUCUCACACGGCCAUGACACGCCUGUAUCUUAGCCCCUGUCUAAAAACCUUGACAUUAUGUUUCUGACCUCAGCAUCUAAUUUAGGGCACACGGCCAAGGCACAUGCCUGUGGCCAGAAGCCGUGUCCUCCACAUGGUUGAGAUACACGGCUAUGUCUCUACCCGUGUGUUUACUAACAUACAUUCUGACUUGCAAAUUUUACGUGCAAGGGACACACGGCCGAAUAACACACCCAUAGGGUUGGCCGUAUGUCACACACGGCUUAAACACACGCUCGUGUGUCUACCCGUGGGGACAAUAUAGGGCUAUCUACCAAGCCUUUGCCACCCUGAAACACAAUCUAACAUCAACCAACAUAUCAAAGAUUAACUUAAUAUGAUUUCUCAACCAAACAGCCAUAGCUAAGACCUAUAUACAUUACAUAUAUUCAACCAUGCCAACAAUUUCACAUUCAUGAAAGACUAGCUUGCAUUCACAUAAUAACUUUCAAUAUUAGCCAUUUUCCAUGGCCUUAUACAAAAUGAAUCAAAUGCUAAGCUAAGCUAUCAUAUUUGGCCAAUUAACAAUGACACAAAACUUAAAAGUCUAAGUUCCUAUACAUGCCAUAUUCAAAAUGAUAAAUCUAAUUAUACCGAGUGCUUCAGUUGAUAGUGUGAUUAAUGCCUCCGACGUCUGUUGAUCUUCGAGCUAGUUAGGCGGCACUAUAAGAAAAUAGAAAAGAGAGGGAGUAAGCAUAAAGCUUAGUAAGUUGUAUGCAAAUAAAUAUAGCAACAACUUUCCCAUUCAUCAUCAUGCUUAUAGUACAAAAGUAGGCAUAAGCACAACUUACUCGUCACUAACCAAUACAAUUCACAUAGCAUAUAUAUUGAGCUCACGUAUCAUACAUUUCAAAUAGGAACCUGUACCACUCACAACAUGGUUAUACUUUUCUCGUUUGACUUAAACUAUAACUCUUACCGUUGAACCAUUUGGAAAGCUAUUCGAUAUUCAUUAUGCCUCAAACAUAGGGUAUAAUGCCGCUGCCAUGUCUUAUACAUGGUCUUACACUGGCUGAUCCAUCAAGUCGAUGCCAUAUCCAGACAUGGUUUUCACUGAUUAUCGAAAUCGAGGCUGACGCCAUGUCCCGGACAUGGUCUUACACUAGCUCUCACAUAUUCAUGCCGAUGCCAUGUCCCAGACAUGGUCUUACACUGACACAUCUCGUAGCUGAUGCAUGUCCCAGACAUAUCUUACACUAGUACACCAAUAACCCGAAUGUCAUGGCAUGAAUAUCCGAUUUAUUUCCUAAUGUUCAAACGGGAGUUCCACUAUCUCAAUAUUUAUCAUACAUAAUCAUUUUCACAAACAAGCAAUUUAUGCUAUAUCAAUUCAAACACAUACAAUAACAAUGUAGUUGUAUUAUUUACUACAACUUACCUCGAUAUACAAAAUGUAGACACUAGUUCGGUUUAGUCCACUUGUUUUACUUUUCCUCGGUCUAGGCUCGGAUUUUGUAUUUCUUGAUCUAAAAUAAUAAAAAUUCAUCCAUUUAGUCACUAGAUAAAUUUAUACAAUAAAAAGUUCACAUUUUUGGCAAAAUGACCAUUUUGCCCCUAGACUCGAAAAUCCAUUUUUUAUCAAAUUUCUUCAUGCCUUAAGCCUAGCUGAACCCUUUUUACUCUUAUAGAAACCCAAAAUUUCCAUUAUUUCACACAUUUGUCAUCUAUUUUUACAACUUAUGCAAAAUGGUCCUUAGUUAGGGUUUUCAUGAAAAUUACUUCACAAAAGUUGUUUAUUUUACAACCAUGAUUCAUUUCCUUCCAUAAAAUUUCAGAAAAAAAACAUGAAUAUUCUCAUGUUAAAACCCUAGACUCUCAAUCAUUUUGCAAAAUAGUCCCCCCAUUAGCUAGCUCAUGCCACAAGGGUUCCAAAAGUACUAAAAUUAUAAAAAAUAACCAUCUAAAUCACUUACUUGAGAGGGAGAUGAAUGGUUGGAAGUUUUAACCUUCAAAGCCCUUACUCUUGCUGAAAAUUUCGGUGAAGAAGGAGAUGAGAAAGGGUUGAUAUCAUCCCUUGUUUAUUUUAUUUCUUUUUAGUCAAAUAAGCCACCAAAUUUUUACCUAACAUUUGACUAUCUAAUUUCUUUGUCUAAUGGCCGAUCAAGCACUAUUCUAGGGUCUAUUUUCUCUUUAAAGAUCCCCAAUUAAUGAUACAUGGAAAUUUAAGACCCUUAGCUAUCAAAUUAAGACUUUUGCACUUUAUGCGAUUUAGUCAUUUUUCACAAUUAAGCAUGAAAUCGCUAAAAUUAACUCACCAAAAUUUUUAUACUCUCAUAUAAUCAUGCCAAAACACAUAAAAUAAUAUUAAAAAUAAUUUCUCUGCCUUCGGAUCAGUGGUCCCGAAACCACUGUUUCAAUUGGGCUUAAAAUCGAGAUGUUACAAGUGUUUUAAUGGUCGGAUCGGCUGGAGAAGGCCAUGGAUGGUGGCAACUCAUGGCAGUGACAACUAAGGUUAAAAGAAGAGGAAUAUGGAGAAGAAGAGAAGAAGACAUUGUGUGUAACAGCCUAAUUUUUAGUGGUGUCGGAACAGUGAUUUGAGAUCACUGAAUCAGACAAAUGAGUAGGAAAUAUUAUUAAUUUAGUGAGUAUAAGUUAAAUGUGAAGUUAGGAAAAAUUUUGAAGUAGUGAAUAGUGUACUAAAAAUAAAUAUUAAAAUAAUUAGAAUCGAAAACGAGGUAUUGAGACCUCGAGAAUUUUAAAUCGAGCAAUAAAUAUUUUUAUAAAUAUUUAUGGAGUGUUAAUAAGUCAGUAUUAAAGUUUCGUCAAGAAAUUUUAAAGUUCUGAUAGUUAAUUGAACAAAAAAGACUAAAUUGUAUUAAAUGCAAAAUUGUGAGAAAUGAUUAAAUAGCUUAAAUGAUAAAAGAAAGAGGGUUUAAAAGGAAAAUAGACCCAAGGUCUCUUUGCGCUGGAUGGCAAUGGCAUGAAAUCAGCAAGAAAAUAAGGAGAAUUAAGGGAAAAAUUGCAAAAUUGCAAAAUUUACUUAAUAAAGCUAGGACUAAAGUGGAAUUAUCUAGAUUGCUCUUUAUUUUUCUGCAUUCUCAUCAGAAAAAACACCAUGGAAGAGUUCCCUUGAGCUGGUUUUUUUUCAUAUUUUUACUUCAGGUAAGUUCAAUUCUUGAUUAUUUCUUAAAUUUUUUUGUGUUUUUGUGACUUUUACAACUAGGUCCACUAGUUAAAUUCAUUAGUUUUUGAUUCUAUGAAAGAAAUUGAAAGUUGCUAUGAAUAUGUGCUGGAAGUAUAUGAUGAUUUUUCAUGGAAUUAGAGCUUUAAAUUGUUUAUAUGCUGAUUUUAUUGAAACAAUUGAAUAGAAAGUGAAUGUUUGGGACCUAAUUGUAAAAGAGUUUGAAGUUAGAGUUUUAUGUAGAAAUUAUGAAUUUAAAUAGUUAUGAAAUAACUUAUAAUGUCUAGGAAAAGUAUUAAUUGAGAAAAUUAUCUUAAUUGAGGGGUUAAUUGAGCAAGGACUGAAUUGUAUGAAUUGUGAACUUUGGGGCAAAAUGGAAAUCAACAUUUUGCACUAAAACUGUUUUGGACAGCAGCAGUAGUCUAACUUUGAAAAAUCACCAAAAAUUGUAGAAAUGGAAUUAGAGGAUGAAUAAAUAUGAAAUUAAAGCUUAUUGAGUCUAGUUUCUUAUAGAAGAAAUGAUGUAAGCAAUGGAAUUGUAAAUCAUGAGAUAUGUUAAAUUUUGUGAGACAAGGUCAGAAUGAUUUCGGGUUCCCCUGUUCUGACUUUGUAAAAUCAUCAAAAAUUGGAUAAAAAUAAUUAGGGCUUAAAUUUAUAUGUUUAGAAUCUUGAAUGAGUCUAUUUUCAAGAGAACAAACGGGAACAUCAUUCGAAUCCUGUACGAGGAGAUAAUUAAUUUUUAGUGAAGAAGGGUCGGAGCUGUCAGACAGCAGAACAGGGGAGACUUCAAUGAAUAAAAUGUAUUAAUUGGCCUAACCAAAAAUUAUGAAAUUUUUAUGGUAAGAAUAUAUAUGAGUAUAGUUUCAUAUAAAAUUAGCGGAUCUUAAUUUUGAGUUCUAUAGCUCUAUAUAUAAAUAAUUUAGUGACUAUGACACGGGUGGAUAGUCUGACUAUUCACAUAAGUAAUUAGUGAAAAUUAUGGAUAAGGUUACUUACAAGUGUGUUAUUUAUACCAAGGAUGUGGAUGGAGAGGAGGAGGGGGAAAAAUAUACGAAUGACUCGUGUAUAAAUUAAAUACAUGCCCGAUUAUAAUCGAUAAGUGUUGGAUUAGAAAUGAUAUAAUGUUUUAUGUGGAAUAUUUAUUAUGAAAUUAUGAUUAUCGUUAUAAUACAAAAUUUGUACUUGUGAGUUUAUAUGGCUAAAUUUUAGUGAUUAUUUGUUAAUUUUAUGAAUUUCAUGAUGUGUUAUUUCAUAUGUAUUAAUGAUAAAAUCGUGGAUAAUGUAAAAGUAUGAAAAUUGAAUAAAUGAUCAAAUUGAGCAUUUCAGUUCAGUGACAAGAUGAAUUAAAGGAAAAGACCAUAGUUGGACCAUGGCAACAAGUGAUAAGUGAUAGCUUCGGCUACACUUAUCUGAUCAAGGAUAAGUGAAAGUGAUAAGUAAUAGCUUCGGCUACACUUAUCUGAUCAAGGAUAAGUAAAAGUGAUAAGUAAUAGCUUCGGUUACGCUUAUCUGAUCAAGGACAAAUGACAAGUGAAAAGUGGUAGCUUUGGCUACCUGAUCAGUGAAAAGUGGUAGCUUCUGCUACCUGAUAAGUGAAAAGUGGUAGCUUCUGCUACCUGAUCAGUGAAAAAUGGUAGCUCCGACUACCUAAUCAAUGAAAAAUAGUAGCUCCGGCUACCUGAUCAGUGAAUAGUGGUAGCUUCGGCUACAAGUGACAAGUGAUUUCCGUAUAAGACCAUAUCUGGGAUAUGGCAUCGGUGUGAUAUAUGCUACUGUAUAAGACCAUAUCUGGGAUAUGGCAUCAGUGAGAUAUGUGAUUUGUGUAAGACCAUAGCUGGGCUAUGGCAUCGAUAUGUGAUAUGUGAUUACGUGUAAGACCAUAGCUGGGCUAUGACAUCGAUAUAUGAAGAUGUGUAAGACCAUAGUUGAACUAUGACAUCGAGUAAACGAAGUACUCAAUUCCGUAUGACGUUCACUAAUUUGACAAAGUUUGGUAAGUGUUACAUGGAAUUAUGUGAUACAUGAAGUACGAGUUGAUAAGAUAUGAGUAUAGAACUUGGUUGAUAAAUGAAUUCAUUUGUGAUUAUAUAAUUGUUCAUCUUGAAUGUACUAUCCAUAUGUAUUGAUAAUUCAAACGUAUUAAUGAAUAAAGUUCCAACAUGGAAUAAAUUAAACACGAGACAAAUAAUUAUGAAAUUGAACUCGGAAUUCAUGAAAAUGAUGGUUAUUGAUAUAUAGAGACAUGAGACAUUGGUAUAUGAAUAUGGAAAAUAUUUGAUAAAUGUGUUUAUUCAUAAUUAUGGAAUUAUAUACCUCAUGUGUACUAUUUGCAUAAAGAUGAUAUUUCAAAUACUUUGGUUAUUUAAGCUUAAAUAUGAAACAGUAUGAAAUCAAGAUAAGUUGUUAUAAAAAUAUAUUUAGAUUACAGAGAUAUGGCUAAUGUAUGUUGUAUGAUUACAUAACGUGAAAUUGUGUAUAUAUAUGAGAAAUUUAAUGAGAAAUGAGCCCAUACACGUUUCUUGUUAUUUAUAUGAAGUGUACGACUGACAAGGGUGAUGAAGUUAUAAACAGAGAGUUACACGGGUUGAAAACACGGGCUUGUGACUCUCCAAAGUGUGAAAAUUUUCUAAGUGUUGCAAAAGUUUCAUAUGUUUACGGUUUGGUCCCGAACCACCCUGAAUGUAUGUUUUGGGCCCCAUAGGCCCAUAUAAGGGACGUUAAACAUAUGUAUGAAAGUUUUUAAUUUAGAAGAAAUUUUAUGGCUGAUUUUUACAUGAUUGAUCAUAUUAAGUUCGGUAAUGCCUCGUACCCUAUUCUAGGCUCGGAAUAUUGGUAGGGGGUGUUACAUUGUGGCCAGGGUAGGAAAAAGAAAAAGAAAAGGAAGAAAAUGAGGAAAAAUGAAAAAAAAAGGUACAAAGAGGAUGACAUGUGGCACCAUAUGAGUGGUCAGUACUACCAUGUUAGCUCAAAAGUAACAAUGUUAUGCUUAGGUACCAAUAUAGUUGACGGAAAAAAAGUUUGGGUACCAAUUUAAGAUAAAAAAAAUCAUAAGUACCAAUCUGAGAGAAGUGGAAAAAUUUGGAUACUAAUUUAUAUUUAUCCUUUUUAAAAAUUAAAAUAUAAAAUUAUGGUGUAAAAUGACAACAAGAAUUUUAGAUAAUUUUCAAUUUUUUAUAUUUUGACCUUUUCUUAAAUUUUAGGAUGUUUAUUGUUUUUUUAUUGAACAGGCAUAAUCAACCUUAACAAAUGACUAUGGACAACAACGUCUCCAAAUUCAUUCUUAAUGUUUCCUUUUUAAUAAUUUUUAUUUUUAAUAAUUUAAAAUAAUAAUAAAUUUAAAAUAAAUUCCAUAUUUUAAAAUAAGCCUUAAACUUCAAUACUUAAAUUAUUUAUAAUCAUUUUAAAUUUUCAAAUAUUCAACAAUAUAAAAAUUUAAAACGCAAAUUUUUAUAUAUUUAACCAAAUAAUUUAUAUUUGAUUUUUUUUAUUUUGAUAUUUGAUUUUUUAAUUAUCCUUGAGAACGUUUUUUUUUAAUUCUCCAAUUAACCAAAAUUUUAUUUAAUUAUAAAAAUCCAAUUUAAGGAAACUUUCGAUUGUGUUAGUAUGUUUAUUUUUCAUCCCACUUGAAUUUUUUUAUAAAAAAAUUUGGAAUUCAUUUUUUAUUUAUAUUAUUAUUUUUGAAAUUAUAAAAAUAAAAUAAAAUUCCCAUAUAUAUAUGUUUAGAAUGAACAUGGUCACACUGUUAUCUAAAUUUAAAUAAAUCUAGAAAAUAGUUUGUUUAAGUUUAUUUUACACAGGAAAUUAAAAAAUUAAAAAAUUUCUAAAAAACCUAUAGCUUAUUUUAAAGUAAUACUUUUUAUGCUAUUAUUUUUUGAAAUCAUAAAACUAUUAGAAAUACAAGUUUAGAAUUAACCUAAACAAUUAUUUGUUGUGAUUCAUUAUAUAUGCACAUGAAAUUAAAAAAAUAAAAAUCCUAAAAUUUCUAAUUUUCUUUAAAGAAAUAGAUAUAUUUUAAGACACACGUGAAUAUUCUAUUGGUUUUUAGCAUAAAAUUAUAAAAUUUAAUGCCACCAAAGUACCUAAAAAUUAGGUAUAAACUAAGAGAAAUUAGGUAUAAAUUAAGUACUCCAAGUUGAAAGGCUAAGAAAAAACUGGAAAUUAAAAUGUUUUUACUACUGCCACAAUAAAUAUAGUGCAUAGCUAAAUAGUUAGUAUAGGGAAGAGGAUGAUUCUCAUGCAAAGUAAUAUUGUAAUUUUUUUUUAUUUUUUUGAUAACCGUUUUAAAUUUAUUAAUAUUUUUAAAAAAUAUUAAAUAUAUGUAUAUAAAAAUAUUAAAUAAAUAAAUUUCCAAUAUGAAACAUGCAUCAAUUAUAUAAAAUACUAAUCAAUAAAGUUUACAAAUAAAAAAAAAUAUUUUGCAACAAAUGUCAAUAUUAUCUCAUUAAUUAAACAACAAAAUAACUAAACAUAUUAGAUGAAAGGUGCAUAAAAACUUACGCACGAAGCUAUGUUCAUGAAUCUUUAAGCUUCUCGCCUUGUAAUUGUUAUAUAAAAUUUGAUAGCCGAAAAAUUCUAUUGUUUACAUUUCGUGUAACUCAUGUAUCGUAUUUGCUUGAUUCUAUCUCUGUAAUUGUUGAUUUAGUUAAUGGUUCAAAGUAUUAAGGUGUUAGGUACUAAUUAUGAAUGUUGAUUAAAUAAUAAUAAUAAUAUAAAAUAAAAAUGCAUGGCAAAUCAGAUGUGUAAUAGUAGUAGCUACAAUAGAUCUCAAAAUUUAGGGUGGUAAAGCCUUUGUGCUGUUGGUUACUAGCAUUUUGAGCCUGUGCCAUUUGACAAUGAAAGCCUUUUAAAUUUGUGUAACAUUAUAUAAAUUGCUAUAAAAUUAUUGCUUCAUUCAAAACAAAGAAUUGGUAUUUCUUAUACACUGAAAGAGGUACUUUCUAUUGUGUAUAACAGCAAGCAAUUAAUAUGGAUUUCUUGAGUUGCUUACUGUACUUUGUUUUCUACUUGAUCUUGUUUCAAGCUUUCCAUUUUAUCACAAGAAGGAAACUGGGAAGAACCCACAAGCUUCCGCCCGGUCCACCAACAAUUCCAAUCUUCGGGAACCUCUUUCAGCUUGGUGAUGAACCCCAUAGGGCCCUUGCCAAACUUGCCAACAUUCAUGGGGACAUCAUGACUUUGAAACUUGGCCAAACAACUACGCUAGUUCUUUCGUCUGCAGCCAUGGCCAAAGAAAUCCUCCUAACGUACGAUGCCAUAUCUUGUAACCGAAC